AUUGAACGCUGGCGGCAGGCCUAACACAUGCAAGUCGAGCGGGGUUUUCGGACCUAGCGGCGGACGGGUGAGCAAUGCGUAGGAAGCUACCCGAUAGAGGGGGAUACCAGUUGGAAACGACUGUUAAUACCGCAUAAUGUCUACGGACCAAAGUGUGGGACCUUCGGGCCACAUGCUAUCGGAUGCGCCUACGUGGGAUUAGCUAGUUGGUGAGGUAAUGGCUCACUAAGGCGACGAUCCCUAGCUGGUUUGAGGGGAUGAUUAGCCACACUGGAACUGAGACACGGUCCAGACGCCUACGGGAGGGAGCAGUGGGGAAUAGUGGACAAUAGGCGCAAGCCUGAUCCAGCCAUGCCGCGUGUGUGAAGGCGGCGUUCGGGUUGUAAAGGACUUUCAGUAGGGAGGAAGCGUUGUGUGUUAAUAGUACACAGCGUUGACGUUACCUACAGAAGAAGCACCGGCUAACUCUGUGCCAGCAGCCGCCGUAAUAC
rnacentral:rRNA from 1 species